rnacentral:rRNA from 1 species
AUUCCAGCUCCAAUAGCGUAUAUUUAAGUUGUUGCAGUUAAAAAGCUCGUAGUUGGAUUUUGGGUCGGGGGUACCGGUCCGGUGUUUCACUGUGCACUGGUCUCCCCUUCCUUUCUGCCGGGGACGGCGUUUGCUCUUUACUGAGCGGCGUCGGAGUCGGCGUUGUUACUUUGAAAAAAUUAGAGUGUUCAAAGCAGGCCAUCGCUCUGAAUACAUUAGCAUGGAAUAACAUGAUAGGACUCUGGUCUUAUUUUGUUGGUUUCCGAGACUGGAGUAAUGAUUAAGAGGGACAGUCGGGGGCAUCCGUAUUUCAUUGUCAGAGGUGAAAUUCUUGGAUUUAUGAAAGACGAACUUCUGCGAAAGCAUUUGCCAAGGAUGUUUUCAUUA